rnacentral:rRNA from 1 species
UACGUAGGGGGCUAGCGUUGUCCGGAAUCAUUGGGCGUAAAGCGCGCGUAGGCGGUCCGGUAAGUCCGCUGUGAAAGUCGGGGGCUCAACCCUCGGAUGCCGGUGGAUACUGUCGGGCUUGAGUACGGAAGAGGCGAGUGGAAUUCCUGGUGUAGCGGUGAAAUGCGCAGGUAUCAGGAGGAACACCAAUUGCGAAGGCAGCUCGCUGGGACGUUACUGACGCUGAGGCGCGAAAGCGUGGGGAGCAAACAGG